AACAUACUACCUCCGUCCGGAAUUAGUUGUCACUGAAAUGGAUGUAUCUAGACAUAUUUCAGUGCUAGAUGCAUCCAUUUGAGCGACAAUCAAUUCCGGACCGAGGGAAUACAAA
rnacentral:pre_miRNA from 1 species